GAGCAGUGGUGUGUCCAGGCUGCAGCGUCUCUAAGGACAAACAUGUGACCGGCCUCCUCUGAGCGGUGACCCAGUGUUUACCUAGUAUAUAGGUGACCCUGGGUUUGAUUCCCAGCACUGCGGAAACUAAAGCAAAUGUUGUAACCGCUAAGCCAUCCCUCCAGCCCAGCUUGAAGCACUUCAAUAUGGAGAUGGGAAACACUGAAGAUGAGCAAGAAUCAUCUGUCAGAUGAAGUGAUAUCCAGCCUGUGCUCAUACCCUGUUUUCCACUGCCAUCAUGAAUCUUCCCCUGGACAGGUGAGACAUCCUUACGUCACCCCUAUAAGAUGCACCUCUCCAUCCUCGGAAGUCUGCUGCAGGGACUCCGGACUUCCCGGAACUUCCUGUGGUCGGUGGACUUCACUGAGUUCACAGAAAGGGAGCUGGAAACCACCGACCCAUGUUCCCACUUCGUUCUUUCCAGAUCUAAUAGUCUACAAAGCAAGUCGAUGCUGAGGCAAGCUUCACCAUGGAUGGAUCUUGAAAAUGCCACAGUCACAGAGGACCACAUGUUUUAUCAUUCCAUUUGAAUGAGAGAUCUAGCCACCAUUCAACGAAAGGACUUGUUGUUUUGAGGCAGGGUCUCACUCUGAAGUCCAGGAUGGCCUUGAACUCAUGAAGAUCCUCCUCAACCUCCCAAGUGUUAGGACUAAAAGUAGAUGCAAGCACACCUGGCUUGAAAGGAAAAUUUUCAUAAAGCAUUUCGUUGCAUUUCCUAGUUCAUUACUAUUCUGUCCGCUUAGCUAGUUCCCAUUUGUCUUGCCGUGGAGCUGUAAGGCCUGCCAUCGUGCCUGUGGAGAGCUCACUGCAGAGAACAAGAGCCAAGGGCUGCCGAGCACAUGACUUCGGCCCUGAGCCCUGAGCCCCAACACCAGCCUUGGUAUGCUAGUGAGAGUUCGUCUCUAGAGUUUCCUCUGUAAAUAUUAUUUCUCCAGGAUGUCCAAGUUUCAUAGCUCAUUUUCACUAGAUUUCUUUCUGGCUAAGUUUCCUACGCAUCCAUCCUUCUGUGAGCAGGGCUGACAGGAAGGAGCAACACCCAGCCUGCGCUGCUAGCGUCACGGGCUGGGGGUCCAGCGCUCAACUGCGGCUUCGUGCAAGUUCUCCAGACUGGCACCCUUUCGGAGCUACCACGGAGGAAGAGCAAGGAGGCGGCGUGAGGACGAGGCCUCGGAGAGAGGGGCAGCCCUCCACCAGCAGCGGCUGC